ensembl:lncRNA
AUGAAACCACUUAUUACCUUCUUUUUGUUGCUACUAUUGCUAUUUAAGCAUAACUGUGCAUGCUUAAAUAAAUAUAUAAAACAUGCGGCAUAUAUAAAAUCUUACAAUAAAGUAAAUAAUUUGAUUCCAAACAAAAAUGUAAGAAAAUAUGUAUGGAAAGGUGUAUGGAAAGAUGUAGGGAGAGAUGUAUGGUGUGGAUUAAAACCAGAGAGAGUGAAAAAAAAAAAUUUAAGAAACAAAAUAAAAUUAUUCCAAAAUGAGUCCUCUCCUAUUUUAGUUGAAAAUAAAAAAAUAAUUAACGUUGCUAUUUUUGGUAGUACAGGUAGUAUAGGAACCAACACACUUAAAAUUAUAAGAGAUUGCAAUGAGAUAAAAAAACAUUUCCAAGUUCAAGCUUUAUAUGCAAAUAAAAAUGUCAAACAUGUUUAUGAACAGGCAAAAGAAUUUUUACCAAAAUAUAUAUGUAUACAUGAUGAAACAAAAUAUGAAGAAUUAAAGGAGUUAUUAAAAAAUAUAAAAAAUUAUAAUCCUAUUUUAUUAUAUGGUGACAAAGGGAUGAAGCAAAUGUGUCAAAGUAACGAUAUUGAUAAAAUAGUUUUAGGUAUAGAUUCAUUUCAAGGAUUAUAUGCUACUAUUCAUGCAUUAAAAAAUAAUAAAAUAAUUACAUUAGCUAAUAAAGAAUCUAUUGUUUCUGCUGGAUUUUAUUUAAAAAAGUUAUUAACAAUUCAUAAAAAUUCAACUAUAAUUCCAGUAGAUUCAGAACAUAGUGCUAUAUUUCAAUGUUUAGAUAAUAAUAAAGUAUUAAAAACUAAAUGUUUACAAGAUAAUUUUUCAAAAAUAAAUCGAAUAAAUAAAAUUAUUUUAUGUGCUUCUGGUGGUCCAUUUCAAAAUUUAACUAUAGAUCAAUUAAAAAAAGUCAAAUCAGGACAAGCUUUAGAACACCCAAAGUGGUCUAUGGGACAAAAAAUAACAAUAGAUUCAGCUACUAUGAUGAAUAAAGGAUUAGAAGUUAUUGAAGCACAUUAUUUAUUUGAUAUACCUUAUAAUAAUAUACAAAUACUUGUACACAAAGAGUGUAUUAUACAUUCAGCAGUAGAAUUCUUUGAUAAAUCAGUUUUAUGUCAAAUGUAUUACCCUGAUAUGCAAAUACCCAUUUUAUAUGCAUUAACAUGGCCAGAUAGAAUACAAACAAAUUUAAAACCAUUAAAUUUAACUGAAGUUUCUCCUUUAACUUUUAAAGAACCAUCAUUAGAUCAUUUCCCAUGUAUUCAAUUAGCUUAUCAAGCAGGAAAACAAGGAAAUUUAUAUCCUACUGUCCUAAAUUCCGCUAAUGAAGUAGCCAAUCAUUUAUUUUUAAAAAAUCAAAUUACUUAUUUUGAUAUACCACAUAUUAUAUCUAGAGUAUUGGAAUCAUUUACUGUUCAAUCCAUUGCGGAAAAUUCGGAGGAUGUGUUUCAACAAAUUAUACAAACACAUGAAUGGGCCAAACAAAAGGCCAUGGAUAUUUACAAACAAAUUAAAACUUAA